UACAGAGGUCUCAAGCGUUGUUCGGAUUCAUUGGGCGUAAAGGGUGCGUAGGUGGCGAGGCAAGUCAGGUGUGAAAUCCCGGGGCUCAACCCCGGAACUGCACUUGAUACUACUUUGCUAGAGUACUGGAGAGGAGAUUGGAAUUUACGGUGUAGCAGUGAAAUGCGUAGAUAUCGUAAGGAAGACCAGUGGCGAAGGCGAAUCUCUGGACAGUUACUGGCACUGAGGCACGAAGGCCAGGGGAGCAAACGGG
rnacentral:rRNA from 1 species